rnacentral:misc_RNA from 1 species
GAGAGAGAGAGAGAGAGAGAGAGAGAGAGAGAGAGAGAGAGAGAGGUGUGAACAAUGCUCUAAAGGCCAUAUUAUCUUUAUACAAAGUAUAGAAUCAAAAUUAUAUCUAUUCGCUUGUUAUUUUUUUUUAUUUAUACGCUCGUCCUCUAUAUUUGACAUUUAUUAUCAAGACUUAGCAACGGUUUACAAAAUCAAUUUUUUUUUAAUUAAUUGUAUUUGUUUGAUAUGAAAUAGAAUAAACUGGAUCUGAAAUGUACAACUGUAUUUAUUAGUCAUUCUUAAAAUUACGUGCCAGUCCAUAUUACCAAGUAGAUAAUACUGGCAAUUAAAUGCAUUUUUAUCAUAUUCUAUUCAAAGUAAAUGCAUGCACUUUCUUUUUGUCAAAACUUUGUUGUCUUAAAUCAAUAAAUCCUAAUAGCAUGUCUAAUCU